rnacentral:rRNA from 1 species
UACAGAGGGUGCGAGCGUUAAUCGGAAUUACUGGGCGUAAAGGGUGCGUAGGCGGUUGUUUAAGUCUGUCGUGAAAUCCCCGGGCUCAACCUGGGAAUGGCAAUGGAUACUGGCUGGCUAGAGUGUGUCAGAGGAUGGUGGAAUUCCCGGUGUAGCGGUGAAAUGCGUAGAGAUCGGGAGGAACAUCAGUGGCGAAGGCGGCCAUCUGGGACAACACUGACGCUGAAGCACGAAAGCGUGGGGAGCAAACAGG